AGCAUCGCAGGCUGUGUUCACCCAGCCUGUUAAAUCGUUAUUUAUAUCCUGAAAGGGAGAGGAUGAUAUUACUCCCCGUAAUAGACAGAUAUGACUCCCCAUCGUAGAGCACGAGGUGUACACCCGCCCUGUGAUUUUCUUCCUCAUAUUCAGAGACCGAGAGGUUGAUGUCACUCCCAAUAUCGGAGGAAGUAUACACCCCCGUGUGAGAUGGUCCUUAAUAAUAUUCCACGGCGGAGGGGGUGAUAUGACUACAUACAUGGCAGAAAGUGGAAACCUCCCAGGGAUAUUGUUCCCACGAUCCUGGAGGGAAGAAGAUGAUGUUACUUUCAAUAUGACAGAAGGUGGAUGAAGUGGUGGACUGCCCCUCCACACCUGUGGACACGCCCCCACUGAUAUUCCUUCUAAUUGCAGCGUGGGAGAGGAGGAUAUGACACGCGAUAUCGCAGGGAGUAGAAACACCCCUGUGAUACUGUUCUUAAUAUUCAGGGAGGAAGAGGAUGAUAUUACUCCCAAUACAGACGGGUGUACACCCUCUGUACACCGAGGGUGUACACCUGUCUGUGAAAGAGUUCGUAAUCUCCAGAGGGGGAGAUGAUAUUACUCACAAUAUGGUAAAGAGGCUGUGAGUCCACGGAGGAUCCUCAGAGCCAGCGGGGGAAGAGGGGCUGGCUCUCAGUCCCCGCCUCGCGGGGGUGACUCCCCCCAGUGCGAUGGGGGUCCUAAGAGCCAGUGGGGGAAGAGGGGCUGGCUCUGAGACCCCGCCUCGCGGGGGGUGCCUCCCCGCCCUGUGAUGGGGGUCCGAAGAGCCAGAAGGCUUAGAGGGGCUGGCUCUCAGUCCCCGCCUCGCGGGGGGUGCCUCCUCCCCCUGCGAUGGGGGUCGUAAGAGCCACUGGGGGAAUAGGGGCUUGCUCUCAGUCACCGCCUCGCGGGGGGUGCCUCCUUUCCUUUCUACAUAGACACAGUGACAGUCUGAUCUCUCUUUCUUUUCCCUACAGAUGGACACGCCCCCACUGAUAUUGUUUUUAAUGCAGCGUGGGAGGGGAGGAUAUGACACGCGAUAUCGCAGGUAGUAGAAACACCCCUUUGAUAGUGUUCUUAAUAUUCAGGGAGGAAGAAGAUGAUGUUACUCCCAAUACAGACGGAUGUACACCCUCUGUACACCGAGGGUGUACACCCGUCUGUGAAGGAGUUCGUAAUCUCCAGAGGUGGAGAUGAUAUUACUCACAAUAUGGUAAACAGGCUGUGAGUCCAUCGCGGAUCCUCAGAGCCAGGUGGGGAAGAGGGGCUGGCUGUCAGUCCCCUCCUCGCGGGGGGUGCCUCCCCCACUGCUAUGGGGAUCCCAAGAGCCAGUGGGGGAAGAGGUGCUGGCUCUCAGUCUCCGCCUCGCGAGGUGCCUCCCCACCCUGCGAUCGGGGUCCGAAGAGCCAGGGGGGAAGAGGGGCUGGCUCUCUUCGUGGAUGAUUCUUUUUCCAUUCUCAGGCAGUUUUCUUUUUUCUUUCUUUCUUUUUUUUUUUUUUUGAGACUGAGUCUUGCUCUGUUGCCCAUGCUUUGCUCGAUCUCGGGUGACUGCAACCACUGCCUCCCAGGUUCAAGAGAUUCUCCUGCCUCAGCCUCCUGAGUAGCUGGGACUAGAGGCGUGUGUCACCACACCCAGCUAAUUUUUGUAUUUUUAGUAGAGAUGGGGUUUCACCAUGUUUGCCAGGAUGGUCUCUAUCUCCUGCCCUUGUGAUCCACCCACCUCAGCCUCCCAAAGUGCUGGGAUUGCAGGUGCGAGCCACCGGGUCCAGCCUCUCAGGCGAUUUUCAUACCUGCAUACUCUGGUCACUACUCUGUUAAACAGUCAAGGAGGGUAAGUAUUAUCUUCAGAUUUCCAGAGCUCUGUCUCUGUACAGCCCUCUCCUCCUCAAUAUUCUGCCCUAUGAAUUCUAGCCACAUUGGCCUUCCCAGGCUCACAGUUCUGUCUUCUCAACUCAGGAAGAUCUCUGAGUUCCAUCUGCAUUCUUUCUUCCUGUGCUGUGGCCUGGAAAGUUUUCUAAGGUGUUAGGGAGGUCAAUUGUGGGGCUAGCCUCAUUUGUUUCUCAUCUCUUGAGGAUCACUGCCCUUUGAUGCUUGAUUCCAGUGAUUGAUUCCCUUUGUUGCUUGAGGGCCAUAGUUUCAUAUAUUUUGUCCAGUAGUUUUGUUGUUUUAGGUCAGAAAGUAAUUUUGGUCUCUGUUACUCUAUCUUGGCCAGAAGUGUAAGACCUAAGCAUUUACACAUCAAAAUACUGCACACAUAAUUUUAGUUUAAGCUACUUUUUAAAAAAUCUCCUUCAUUUUCCAUUUAGCAUUCUAUUUAGGGUAUUACAUUGGUUUUUUUGAAAUUCUGUUAUUGGCAGUUUCUAUUGCCUAUCAAUCCCAUUUAAAGAUAGUGCAUAGGGUAUUCUAAAAUAGCUGUUAAGCAAAGAGAAAAUUGGGCCUGAUAGGGUGAGAAUCACAGCUCUAAUACCUAGAGUGACCUUAUAAUGUAUUGUCCAAAGGAGAUAUUUUUGACAGUGAAAGAGGGUGUUGUUAGUAAUUAUAUCAGGACCAUGGCCUAAACCAGGACUAUCCCAGGAAGCCUGGGACAUAUUUGUACCCCAUCUCUAUUUAAUGCCUUUAUACAAUUCUUUACUUAAUUCUACCAGCCUUUAUUGAGCCUGCUUUCUUUGUCUAGCUGAGUGCCACGUGCUGACGUCACUAAGAUCAAUACAGCAAACUCUGAAAGAUGGACAGAGAGACAGGAGAUGGUCCUUUAUAAUGCAGUGUGAUCUGUGCUGCAAUAGAGUUUUGGAAGCUAGAAGUUCAAAACGAGGUGUUGGCAGCACCAUGCUCUCUCUGAAGAUGCUAGGAAGAAUCUGCUCCAUGCCUUUCCAUUCGCUUCUGGGGUUUCCUGCAAGCCCUGACAUUCCUUGGCUUGUAGAUGCAUCACCCCAGUUUCCGCCCCCAUCAUCACAUGGCCUCCUCUCUGUGUGUGCCUCUGCGUUCCCUCUAUUCUUCUUCUAAGGACACCGACACCAGUCAUAGUGGAUUAAGUGUCCACUCCUAACCAAUUACAUCUGCAACAACCCUAUUUCCAAAUAAAGUCACAUUCUAAGAUUCCUAGGGAGAACAUGAAUUUUUGGGGGUGUGUGGAUACUGUUCAACCUGGGACAUGGAGUAAAUAAAUGGCAAGGAAGAUUACAGAUGACUUUAAGCUAAAGAGGGAGAUAGGGUUAAAUGUAGGACUUUUUUUUUCCAGGACGGGAGAGGUUUAAACAUGUUACUACAUUGAAUAAAUGAAAUAACCA
ensembl:lncRNA LINC03025 long intergenic non-protein coding RNA 3025